GACGAACGCUGGCGGCGUGCUUAACACAUGCAAGUCGAACGGAAAGGCCCUGCUUUUGUGGGGUGCUCGAGUGGCGAACGUGUGAGUAACACGUGAGUAACCUGCCCUUGACUUUGGGAUAACUUCAGGAAACUGGGGCUAAUACCUGAUAGGAGCUCCUGCUGCAUGGUGGGGGUUGGAAAGUUUCGGCGGUUGGGGAUGGACUCGCGGCUUAUCAGCUUGUUGGUGGGGUAGUGGCUUACCAAGGCUUUGACGGGUAGCCGGCCUGAGAGGGUGAACGGCCACAUGGGGACUGAGAUACGGCCCAGACUCCUACGGGAGGCAGCAGUGGGGAAUAUUGCACAAUGGGCGGAAGCCUGAUGCAGCAACGCCGCGUGCGGGAUGACGGCCUUCGGGUUGUAAACCGCUUUCGCCUGUGACGAAGCGUGAGUGACGGUAAUGGGUAAAGAAGCACCGGCUAACUACGUG
rnacentral:rRNA from 1 species